rnacentral:lncRNA from 1 species
GCGGCCGCUUUCCGCCUCGGACUCGAGCGCGUCGAAGACAGCAGCGCCCACCAGCAGAUGCAGAGAACCCAAAGCCCUGCAGGAUGGCAAAGCUGCAACAUGGAAGUCACCCGGAUCACCACGUAAAGGAAAUCUCUCCAACCAGGAACAAACACCUGCCUUGCAAUAUUAGGUCCUUCCUAGGGCUUGGUGCAUGUGCAUAUCUCCUUCCGGAAUCCUGGUCAAUACUAAGGUGUCUGCCUCCUGCCCCGGUCCACAGCCAGGAGCCCCGGAGCCAACGGCCAGCCUGGAAGACUUACAGUUCUCCCUCUGAGGGUUGCUGUGGCUUUCCAUGUUGUGGUGACUAAGUCCCUGUGUUUCUGUGCAGUCCCUGCUUCCUGGGACCAGGGAAGAAUGGUCCCGUACCCGCUAUUCUGACCUCUGUGGCCACUGAUUAGUUGUUCCUGAAAGGAACAGUUUUAAGCCACUUCUAUCUCUGAGGCAAGAAGGAAGACGGGAGAAAUGAGGAGGUGUGAGGAAGAGAGUUGG